rnacentral:lncRNA from 1 species
AAAACUUUAGUUCCUCAGUCACCUUAGCCACCUUUCAAGUGUUCAACAGCCCCAUGUGGCCAGUGGCUACUGUAUUGGAAAGAACAGACAAGAUCAUUUUCAUCAUCUCAGAAAGUUCUAUUGGAUCACGCUGAGACCUUCCAAUCCUGUGAGAGACUUCAAGUCCUAGCAUUUCAGAGCUGAAGGGGACUCGGACGGACUCCCUCACUGCACAGAUGAGGACGCGGAGGCCGGGGGAGGUGAGUGUCAGUCCCAAGGUUGCAGACCUAGGACAGGGACCGGAGCUGCCGGGCACCCAGAACUCUGUCGCCUUCAACCCAAAUUCGAUUCAGUCCUCUCAUCUUUCCAAAUAGAAAGCUGACGCGAACCGAUGGGAAGAUUUUUUUUUUCAAUAACAACUAUGCUACCCAGCAGAUUCUUUGGGGACAGUCCUCGGAGUCCUUGAAAACCCCUUUGGGGUUUAUGCCAGGAUAAGAAGAGACUAGAAGAAAGGGACAGCUAGUAUUUUAAUAUGUAAAUCUGUUUGCAUAAUAUUUCCUAGGUAAACUAUUCGUUGAUCCAACCAAAAUUCGGCGGGGCUGGGGGGUAUCGUUAUUGAGGAUGACUCGCUCUAGGGGAGAACGCGGACGCAUUUUCCCAUCAGAGUUCCCUCCAUAAAUCAAAACCUCAAAAGAAGAGUUAAAGACGACACCCAGGUGUCUACAGUAUCCAAGGGCCGGGCCAGGAGAGGUCCUUGGCCACCUGGCGCCGAGUUCGCGGC